rnacentral:misc_RNA from 1 species
AUAUAUAUAUAUAUAUAUUUACGGAAAUAAAACAGAAAAGGAAAGUACAAGGAAAAAAGUUUAAUUGAUAAUGAUUAUGAGGAUCAAAACAAAUAUAUUAGCAUGAGGCUUUGGCAAGCCAAUUGAGAAACAUAUUACAAACAUUGCAUACAAGCACAACAUAAUAAGCAUUGCAAAUACGGAGGCAAGAACAUUUAAUGAACGGUCUACUUCAUUCAUUCAUAUAGCAUAAUCAAUACAAUGAGACAAAUAAUCCUCACAUCACUUAUAGGCAGGGGAGGAACCUACAAAGAGUAAAGAGACAGGAGCUUGAUGGACACGAUAGCUAGCUGGGCCCAACAAUAGCCAACUAGUCACUCCCCCUAAAGAGCGUUGGGGACACAACUGAGUGCAGCAAAAGGAUAUAUCACUAUACUUGAGCUAUCACACCCCUAAAAUUACAUAAA